UGGAUCUCAGUUCUUGAGUGGAGGGAAGAGAAACAAAUACAAAUGCUGAAGAAAUCCAGAAUUUGACCGGGGAGCACCCUUCAUAAGGAUAGCUGAAGAAAGAAGACUGGCUUCCACAAAAGCCCAGAGUCAACACCAUCCAGUUGCAAGGAAACACCAGUUUGGAGAUGGAAAGCUUUAGGUCACAGAGUGUAUCAUAGAAAAAGUCUGUGAUAUCAACCUGUAUGGUCAGAGACACUGGAACACAACUGAAACCACUUUUGGAAAGGCUACCAUCUCUGUGGGGAAAGAGCUCAAUAGAAGUUCUCCAUGUCCAAAUUCCCAUAAAGGACUUACAUACAAACAUGUCUACCUACCACCAACUUGUUUCUAGAAAGAUUGGGGGCCUGGAUGCUGAAGAAACCCCAAGACUCCAUAUGGAAUCAUGAUAAGACACUUCCUUUACGUCUCUCCACAGAUGCAAGGCAGCUCCUGCCCUGCAGAAGGCGUAGGUAUCUACUUAUUCUGUAAAUAACAGUAGAUUUUUUCCUGAAGUUUCUGCUUGGUGGCAUAGAAUUU
rnacentral:lncRNA from 1 species